rnacentral:lncRNA from 1 species
AGGCAGUGCAGGACUAAGCAUGCUCAGUGAAAAAGCUUUUCUCCUUUGCCUGUCAAGCCCUAUGUUUGAACUCAUUCCAGAAUACUGGAUUUACUUUUCACGAAGAAACAGUACCUGACUGGACUGCAUUUUUCUUUCUUUCCUUAGUCACCAGAAGAUUGGAAACAAUAUUCCUUUGAUGAUUAGUGCACUCCCAGUAAUGCAGCGUGCCUGCACACAAGUGUGACUCUUGCAGUGGAGAAGGAAGAGAAACUUUGCUACCUGUGAAACGAAGACUUCUUAGGGAUGAACGAAGUUGCCAGAGAACAGAGAAGGAGGUUGGAGUGUUGGAGCUUCUGGAUGGAAGUCACUGGAGAUAUCAGUUCCUAUUGUAAUUUAUUUGUGAUCUUGACUGAGGGAUGAAAGUGUCCAAACCACUAAAACCUAAUUAGAACUAAUUUUCAGUCCUGCCAGUUGCAGCAAAAAGGCUAAGUGCUAAAUUGCCCUGUGGAGGUUACGUCGCUCUGUUGUCUUCAUCCCGAUUUUUCUGGGUCAGGAUUGUGACACACUGACCUGCCAGAUAUCUAAUCAUCCCUGCGAUAUCCAGCUCAGUGGAUUAAUGAAGAAGAAGAAAACAUAGCCCUGCUGAAAAUGAACGUUUGGAAGAUGUGAAUUUUGAGUAUGUGAAUGAAACAAUCAGACAGGAAUACCGAAUGUGGACUGAGGAUGCCAAGGGAAUUGUUUCCAUAGAAACAAAACCAUGGAGGCUCACAUGGCUCCCCCAUCUCAGACUUACAAAUUCAUAUGAUUAUCUUAAUGGUCAACAUAAUGGAUUGAAAAGAGGUUUUUCUGUGAUGCUCACAGAAACUGCUGAGAUGCUGCUCACCGGUGCUGCACAGACCCAGGCAGAAUGGGAUGCUGUGAUGCUUCAGGAAGUAGCAGAAUCAUCAAAAAGGUGUUGA